CCUGGUAGUCCACGCCCUAAACGAUGUCAACUAGCUGUUGGGGCCGUUAGGCCUUAGUAGCGCAGCUAACGCGUGAAGUUGACCGCCUGGGGAGUACGGUCGCAAGAUUAAAACUCAAAGGAAUUGACGGGGACCCGCACAAGCGGUGGAUGAUGUGGAUUAAUUCGAUGCAACGCGAAAAACCUUACCUACCCUUGACAUGUCUGGAAAGCCGAAGAGAUUUGGCCGUGCUCGCAAGAGAACCGGAACACAGGUGCUGCAUGGCUGUCGUCAGCUCGUGUCGUGAGAUGUUGGGUUAAGUCCCGCAACGAGCGCAACCCUUGUCAUUAGUUGCUACGCAAGAGCACUCUAAUGAGACUGCCGGUGACAAACCGGAGGAAGGUGGGGAUGACGUCAAGUCCUCAUGGCCCUUAUGGGUAGGGCUUCACACGUCAUACAAUGGUCGGGACAGAGGGUCGCCAACCCGCGAGGGGGAGCCAAUUUCAGAAACCCGAUCGUAGUCCGGAUCGCAGUCUGCAACUCGACUGCGUGAAGUUGGAAUCGCUGUAAUCGCGGAUCAGAAUGUCGCGGUGAAUACGUUCCCGGGUCUUAUACACACCGCCCGUCACACCAUGGGAGUGGGUUUCACCAGAAGUAGGUAGCCUAACCGUAAGGAGGGCGCUUACCAC
rnacentral:rRNA from 1 species